AACAAGUUUUUUUUUUUUUUUUUUUAAUCUGAGAAAGGAAGGAAGGAAGAAAGGAGGAGUUUUAGCAGAAUUAGUUGGGUGGUAGAGGCCUCUCGAAAGCACCUUGCCUCUCACAGGUAGCAGAGAAGGAGGAACGAGAAACUGGAGGGGAGACUUUCCUGCUCCCAUUUCCUGCACGAAGAAACUCCCUCUUAAAGUGAGUUGGUACAACCCAUCUGCAGGGUAUAUUUGUCUUAUCCAUCCAUUUGGAUCCCAUUCUUGUUGCAGAAAUUAUCCUUGAGAGGCAAUGGAACAAAUGUGCAAAGAUGAAUAUGUUGGGAUGCACAUUAGUGACAAGCGAGACAAUUAAAGACAACGUAACGUCUGUCAAGGCAAGACAUUAUUUAAUGUGUGGUAAAUGUAUCAUGCUAUACCCCCACAUAUCACAAUGAACUGCCAUUCAAAUGGUGAUCCCUAUUCCUUGCCUGGAAAGAUAAUGAGAAGUGGUAUUUAAUGAGUGUUGACCAUGUGGCAGGUGUUUUCCAUAUAUGGUGUUACUCAAUGCUCAUAACCAAGUUUAAGGGAUGAUAAUCCUCAUUUCACCGAUGAGGAAAAUGGCCUGAGGUUAAGUAGGACCAAAUCACAGAUUCAGGAAGCAGUCGGUUAAGAUUUAAACUUUACAGCCCACCGUCGCAACGUCUUUGCCCAUAGCACUUUUUUUUUUUUUUUUUAAUUUUCGAGACUGAGAGAGAGAGAGAGAGAGCACAAGCCGGGGAGAGGGGCAGAAGAAGAGAGAGAGAGAAUCUUAAGCAGGCUCCAUGCUCUGCGAGGAACCAGAUCCACAGCCCUGGGCUGAUGAGCUGCGCUGAAAUCAAGAGUCGGAUGCUCGACCAAGUGAGCCACCCAGGUGCCUCUCACAGCACCUUUUUGGAUGAAAUGAUUAAGGCACAGGAACCCAAAGUAUACCCGCACUGCUCUGCAUCACCCUAGGCCGCUAGCUUCACGAGGACAUGUACCACCCCUGCUUUAGUCCGUCAUUAUGAUGCCAGCACCUGUCACGAUGCCUGACAGGGCUUCUGGAAUCCCCCUGGACUCAAAAAGCCUUCGAGAAAACAAAUCUAGAACCGAUGGACGGUAGAGCACCGCGGCUGAGGGUCAGCUCACCAGCACUGCGAGGCAGAGCCGCUGUCCAGGGACCGCACGGUGCUGAGAUCCGUGGCUUGCUGGGCUGAAGGAGAAGCCCCCACUAAUUGGUUCAGACCACAAAGGUCAACCCCAUGAGCAUCCGGUAAGACAGGCACGAUGAAAGCCACACAAGCCGGGAGAGAAGAGAGCAGCUGUGGUGAGUGGGGCUGGGUGUGAUUAGAAGUGGCAACAGGCGCUGUGGACUGCGGUGGAGAAGCAAGUUGAUGACGAGGCGACAGAAGACGCCAGCUCUGGGGUCUGCGGGGGUGGCAACAGGCCCACGCUCACUCGUGUGCUCUCUCUCUCUCUCUGUGCAACAGCCCUUGGAAACGAGGAAGAUUCUGGGAACGCAGCAGCUUCCUGUCCUGCCUAGAAGGCAUGGUUCUGCUGCCGCGGGUGGAGGGGUGGGGGUGGCCAGCCGCGUGAAACCCCUGGCAGUGUGUGUGACCCCUCUGCAUCGCCUGCCAGAGGCUACCACUCAAGUGCCCCCAGGGACCAAGCAGGGAAUGCGCGUGUGCAAGGUGGGGCAGGUAUCAGGAACAGAGAGGGGUAGGGACCAUGACGAAUGGAAGAGCACACACGCCAUCAAAAAGCAUCCGAAUGCGCAUCGUCUUAAGAUAGCGUGCAGGCGAAACAAACAUGGGUUUGGCCCACAUGUGGCCCACAGACAUCCCGCCUAUUGUCUCUGGGCUCCGCAGGUGCGUGUGCAACACACUACAAGGACUGACGAUGGCAGGGGUGACCCUGAGUUGCCAACACGUUGGUGAAGCUCUCUCAAACUGCCAGUACGGAUGUGGUCCGAUGCGGUUAUCUUCCCUGGAUCUGGGGGGGAGGGGGGGGGCUCAGCUGGAUGACACGGCUUCACCAGCCACAGUGUAUGCUCAGUGAGCAGUCAGGGAUCCUAGCAGCUCCCGUGGCUGCACAGAACUUUAUUAUUAUUUUUUUAAUAUUUAUUUAUU